UGGGAGGGUGAAGUUGCUUGAAAUAAGCAAU
rnacentral:piRNA from 1 species